rnacentral:rRNA from 1 species
GGAUCAGGUAGGGAUACCCGCUGAACUUAAGCAUAUCAAUAAGCGGAGGAAAAGAAACCAACAGGGAUUGCCUUAGUAACGGCGAGUGAAGCGGCAACAGCUCAAAUUUGAAAGCUGGCCCUUUUAGGGUCCGCGUUGUAAUUUGUAGAGGAUGAUUCGGCGAGGGCUCCCGCCUAAGUCCCCUGGAACGGGGCGUCAUAGAGGGUGAGAAUCCCGUAUGCGGUGGGCUGCCUUAGCCAUGUGAAUCUCCUUCGACGAGUCGAGUUGUUUGGGAAUGCAGCUCUAAAUGGGAGGUAAAUUUCUUCUAAAGCUAAAUACCGGCCAGAGACCGAUAGCGCACAAGUAGAGUGAUCGAAAGAUGAAAAGCACUUUGGAAAGAGAGUUAAAAAGUACGUGAAAUUGUUGAAAGGGAAGCGCUUGCAACCAGACUUGUCCGCAGUUGCUCAGCCGGUCUCCUGACCGGCGUACUCUUCUGCGGCCAGGCCAGCAUCAGUUCGGGCGGUCGGAUAAAGACCUCGGGAAUGUAGCUCCUCUCGGGGAGUGUUAUAGCCCGGGGUGGAAUGCGGCCAGCCUGGACUGAGGAUCUCGCUUCGGCAAGGAUGCUGGCGUAAUGGUUGUAAGCGGCCCGUCUUGAAACACGGACCAAGGAGUCUAACAUCUAUGCGAGUGUUUGGGUGUCAAACCCAUACGCGUAAUGAAAGUGAACGGAGGUGGGAACCCGCAAGGGCGCACCAUCGGCCGAUCCUGAUGUCUUCGGAUGGAUUUGAGCAAGAGCAUAGCUGUUGGGACCCGAAAGAUGGUGAACUAUGCCUGAAUAGGGUGAAGCCAGAGGAAACUCUGGUGGAGGCUCGCAGCGGUUCUGACGUGCAAAUCGAUCGUCAAAUUUGGGUAUAGGGGCGAAAGACUAAUCGAACCAUCUAGUAGCUGGUUCCUGCCGAAGUUUCCC